rnacentral:rRNA from 1 species
UGCAAGUCGAACGAUGAAGCCGGGUGCUUGCACCGGGUGGAUUAGUGGCGAACGGGUGAGUAUCACGUGAGUAACCUGCCCUUGACUCUGGGAUAAGCCUGGGAAACUGGGUCUAAUACCGGAUACGACCAGUCCUCGCAUGGGGUGCUGGUGGAAAGAUUUAUCGGUCUUGGAUGGACUCGCGGCCUAUCAGUUUGUUGGUGAGGUAAUGGCUCACCAAGGCGAUGACGGGUAGCCGGCCUGAGAGGGUGACCGGCCACACUGGGACUGAGACACGGCCCAGACUCCUACGGGAGGCAGCAGUGGGGAAUAUUGCACAAUGGGCGCAAGCCUGAUGCAGCGACGCCGCGUGCGGGAUGACGGCCUUCGGGUUGUAAACCGCUUUCAGCAGGGAAGAAGCUUUUUGUGACGGUACCUGCAGAAGAAGCGCCGGCUAACUACGUGCCAGCAGCCGCGGUAAUACGUAGGGCGCGAGCGUUAUCCGGAAUUAUUGGGCGUAAAGGGCUCGCAGGCGGUUUGCCACGUCUGCUGUGAAAGCCCGGGGCUUAACUCCGGGUGUGCAGUGGGUACGGGUAGACUAGAGUGCAGUAGGGGAGACUGGAAUUCCUGGUGUAGCGGUGAAAUGCGCAGAUAUCAGGAAGAACACCGAUGGCGAAGGCAGGUCUCUGGGCUGUUACUGACGCUGAGGAGCGAAAGCAUGGGGAGCGAACAGGAUUAGAUACCCUGGUAGUCCAUGCCGUAAACGUUGGGCACUAGGUGUGGGGGACAUUCCACGUUUUCCGCGCCGUAGCUAACGCAUUAAGUGCCCCGCCUGGGGAGUACGGCCGCAAGGCUAAAACUCAAAGGAAUUGACGGGGGCCCGCACAAGCGGCGGAGCAUGCGGAUUAAUUCGAUGCAACGCGAAGAACCUUACCAAGGCUUGACAUG